GUCGUCAGCUCGUGUCGUGAGAUGUUCGGUUAAGUCCGCUAACGAGCGCAACCCUCGCUGUGUGUUAUAUGUGUCACACGGGACUGCCGGUCUUAAGCCGGAGGAAGGUGGGAUGAUGUCAAGUCAGCAUGGCCUUUAUAUCCUGGGCUACACACACGCUACAAUGGCCAACACAAUAGGUUGCUAAGCCGCGAGGUGGGGCCAAUCCAUAAAGUUGGUCUCAGUUCAGAUUGUAGGCUGCAACCCGCCUGCAUGAGGAUGGAGUUGCUAGUAACCGCAGGUCAGCUAUACUGCGGUGAAUACGUUCCCGGGGCUU
rnacentral:rRNA from 1 species